UACAGAGGUCUCAAGCGUUGUUCGGAUUCAUUGGGCGUAAAGGGUGCGUAGGCGGCGCGGUAAGUCGGGUGUGAAAUCUUGGAGCUUAACUCCGAAACUGCAUUCGAUACUGCCGUGCUUGAGGACUGGAGAGGAGACUGGAAUUUACGGUGUAGCAGUGAAAUGCGUAGAGAUCGUAAGGAAGACCAGUGGCGAAGGCGGGUCUCUGGACAGUUCCUGACACUGAGGCACGAAGGUCAGGGGAGCAAACGGG
rnacentral:rRNA from 1 species